GACGAACGCUGGCGGCAUGCUUAACACAUGCAAGUCGAACGGAAAGGCCCUGCUUUUGUGGGGUGCUCGAGUGGCGAACGGGUGAGUAACACGUGAGUAACCUGCCCUUGACUUUGGGAUAACUUCAGGAAACUGGGGCUAAUACCGGAUAGGAGCUCCUGCUGCAUGGUGGGGGUUGGAAAGUUUCGGCGGUUGGGGAUGGACUCGCGGCUUAUCAGCUUGUUGGUGGGGUAGUGGCUUACCAAGGCUUUGACGGGUAGCCGGCCUGAGAGGGUGACCGGCCACAUUGGGACUGAGAUACGGCCCAGACUCCUACGGGAGGCAGCAGAGGGGAAUAUUGCACAAUGGGCGGAAGCCUGAUGCAGCAACGCCGCGUGCGGGAUGACGGCCUUCGGGUUGUAAACCGCUUUCGCCUGUGACGAAGCGUGAGUGACGGUAAUGGGUAAAGAAGCACCGGCUAACUACGUG
rnacentral:rRNA from 1 species